UCAAAAUGGCGGCAAUACCAAGACUUCUCCUCAAUAGGUUAAAUGUAGGCACUUUGGCAGUUUGCUUAACUGGUGCACGAGUUUCAACUCGAUUUUUGUCAAAUGAUCAACAUAGACCCACAGAAACAAACACAUCAACUGAGGAAGACACGAUGUCUUCUGUGUCAACAGCAAGUAAUUCUUUUGAGAGGUUAUCAGAUGCUUUCUCUGGUGCAGCAACAACACCUUUUAGCCAAGAAAUCAUUCAAGUUCUGAUGUCACCUAUCAAUGAAACUGAUGUUGAGAUCAAACCAGAUGGAUUGAUUUAUCUUCCUGAGAUAAAAUAUAGAAGAAUACUUAAUCAAGCAUUUGGUCCAGGUGGAUGGGCACUGGUGCCACGAGGCGAGUCUCUUCAAUUUCAGAAUGAUAAAGACAACAGCCAGCUAAUUGUGCGGGAGUAUGCAUUAUUUUGUUUGGGAAGAUUUGUUGCACAGACUGUUGGUGAACACACUUUUUAUUCCUCUAAUAACAUGGUGUAUGGAAAAGCUAUGGAAGCUGCCAAGUCUAAUGCAUUGAUGAGAUGUUGUAAAGACCUUGGAGUUGCCAGUGAGCUCUGGGAUCCACAGUUCAUCAUUGAUUGGAAGGACAAAUAUGCUCUGAACACAUGGUGUGAAAAUGUGCGAACAAGAGAUAAAAAGAGGUUGUGGAGAAGAAAAGACAGAAAGUCAACACAUGCUUUUCAAUAUCCAUGGAAGGAAGUUGCUCAGCAGGAGAAAUGAUUUCAGUAAAGUAAACAGAUAUUUCCAACAAAUCACUGUAGGCCAAUUUCACAGGACAGUCAAUGGUGUUUACACAACACCAACACUUACACAAACAGUUAAUAACUCUGACAGUUUUAUCCCAGGCUAAGAAAGGAUUUCACAUUGUCAAACAAUGUUAUUGGACCAGUAACAUUUUUUACCUACUGUAAAUAAUGGUAAUAGGACUGAGAGGAGUCUAAUUUGGUUUGCUAUCAUAUGAGUGCUUGACAAAAUUGGACAACUGUGAAGCAGGAGUCUAUUUGUUAAUCAUGAGUUGGAUGACAGAAUUGGACGACACAAAGUCCUGUUACCAGUUAAUCAAAACUAUGACAAAAUCUGAGAAAGAUUUUCAUAAAAAACAACUGACAGUUAACUUGGCAAAAUGUGUAACUACAGUCCACACACAUGACACAUACUGUCUAUUUACACAGGUGUGAUGUGUCCAAUUACAAGCAAGACACAUACACUGUCUUAUUAGUGCUCAAAUCAGGCUGGCCAUAAUCAAUGGCAUUCAAGAAUUUUGUUAUAGUUUUGAUUAAAGUGCAGAACAGCUACCCACAAGUCAUGAUGGUCAACUGUUCAACAAUAAACUACCAGCAGGUAUUUCGAUAAUGAACAAACAGAGGAAGGAAUCUAGGAAAUUAGAAAAAGAAUGGACAGGACAAAAAUGGAUUUCAUCAUAGAACCUAAAGCAGCUGAAAUGGGUGGAUUGAGGGUAAGGGUUACUGCAAAGGGUACAGCAAGCCUCAGGGAGAUUUUAUCAAAGUUGUAUUAUUAAGUACUAAAAGUUAGAUGAAUGAAGUUUCUUUGUGAACUUCUGAUAGGCAUUCCGAUUUUCAUGGUGACCUCAAUAUCUAAACUUUGAAUAUUGAAUAAUAUCUUUGAAAAGCACUGAAUUUUUUAAACUGAAAAAUUAGGCAGUGAGUAUUUCUUAAUAGAUUAUAUGAAGAAUACGACUUGUGCUCUAGAAAAAUUUAUCUUGGGGUUGGGAUAUUAAUAGAGGUGUUAUUGUGAAAUGAAUGCAGACUGAGAUAACAUAACUUAGCUGCGCAACAAGAUAUCAUUCUUUACACUAUGACUCACUUAGAAAUCAGAAAAAUCCAAAUCAUUUUGAUUAGCAAACAGCAUUUAUUGAAAGAAAAGUCACACAAUCAAGUCAAUAAAAGCAUUACAUUCUUGCACGAUUUAAACAGUGCAUUAUUGUCUAAGCUUAUAAGGUAAU